rnacentral:lncRNA from 1 species
AGAACGAGGCUGACAGUCAGCUAAACAACCCACUACAUUGUUCCCUCCCCACAUGGCCUCCUCCCUGCUCCCCGGCAGUCCCCACAUGCAGCAGCAGACUAGUGGGUAGAACUGCAGGGGUAUGGAGACAUCCCGAACUUCAGCAGCAGCAGUCCCAGCACCCCGCCCCCAACCUCAGGCAUGAAGAGCAAGGUGUAUGGACACUGUGGACACAUGUCCCUUGAAGUCUGGCCUCCACCAGUACAUUGCCUGGGUUAAAUUCCACACAUGUCUGGCCCUGAAGCCAGUACUGUGUGCUUUCUUCAGCUAAAGCAAGCCCCCCUCCAUCUCUUCUGUAGCUUCCUAGGUCCUGGGCUCAUCAAGCAAUUGAAAUCUUUCAAAAUGAUCGAUCAGGGCUGAUCCACUCGAGAUUUUACUUGUGGUUGAUGUUAUUUUUCAAGUCAACGACCAAUUACAGUAACAGCAUUGAUUAAACACCGUCUCUCUGCCCUGCAUGGAAAUGCCAUCUUUCCUGUGCUUUACCUCAGAAUGGACCGGGCUUGGUUGCACACGGCUUUGAGCCCAGCACGCUGAAGACAAACAGGUGGAACUCUGUGAGUCUAAGGCCAGCCUAGUCUACAAAGAGAGUUCCAGAACAGCCAGGAGUACAUAAUGAAACCCUGUGUCAAAACACAACCAACAAACAGCGUGGGUCUUGAAUGGCUUUUAUACGUCUUGGCCUCCUGGUCUACAAACUUGCUGUGUCAAUGCCAUGUAGCCUUUCACGCUAUUCCAUCAGCUUGGUCCAGAGUUUUAGCAUCUGGCACAACUGUUCUACAUCAGUGUUUUUCAGAGAUAAAAUGCUGCUCGUGAAAUGGAAAUAUUUAGAAUUGCUUCUACAUAAAUGUUAAAUGCUUUUAUAGAACCCAAGGAAAACCCUGUUGAUGUUCUGAUUAAAAUUAAGGUUCAUCCCUUUGGAAAUCGCUGACACUUGUGGUUAUUAGUCCCUCCGAUCCAAGGGCCUUUCGCACUUCCCCGUUAGUUCAAAUCUGGCUUUUAAAACCUGUAACAAAAUGUCAUGGAUUUCUCGAAGAACCUUCUCUAACUUUUGAUAUUUUAACAGCUGACUUUACAAUGUAAUAAAAUAAAAAUUCCCCCAAAGAACUGCG